CGCCCGCGGCAGUAAACGUUACUGGUAACAGUUAGCUUCGCUAGCUAACAGCUGAAAAUAAGGAAAAACAGUAGUUAGCUAAGUAACUGACAUAACUAAAUAAACGUUUCCACUACAGGAGGAGAUGAACGUCAUAUCUACACAACAACACAGCAUCAAGAUCUCCCGGGGAAGAACUCACCUUUUUCGGCUCCCCAUCGCGCUGGUUUGGGUGUAAACUGCCCGGAUACGCCGCAGUCUGACCCGCAGGACGAACAGCGCUCACUGAGCCAAACCCGCCGCUAAAAUUUAAAUUCUGCCUCUUCCUGAGAGCUUCCUCACAGCCCGGCCCCAGUACCGCCUCCUACCGCCGGGGCCCUGCACCCAGCACCCAGCCCUGCACCCGCUUUUUAUACAAGAAGAUUCCACUGAGAAAAUGAUAGUCACUCGUCUGCUCUGUCCUCAGCUCCACUUCUCCUGGGGAUAUGUUGUUGUGAGUAUUAUGAAGUAAACUAAAACUCAGUUCCCACACUCACUCCUC